GUGUCAGCAGCCGCGGUAAGACGGAGGAGGCAAGCGUUAUCCGGAAUUAUUGGGCGUAAAGGGUCCGCAGGUGGCAGUUCAAGUCUGCAGUCAAAGGUCGGGGCUCAACCCCGGAAAGGCUGUGGAAACUGAACAGCUAGAGUACGGUAGGGGCAGAGGGAAUUCCCAGUGUAGCGGUGAAAUGCGUAGAGAUUGGGAAGAACACCGGUGGCGAAAGCGCUCUGCUAGGCCGAAACUGACACUGAGGGACGAAAGCUAGGGGAGCGAAAGGGAUUAGAUACCCCUGUAGUCCUAGCUGUAAACGAUGGAGACUAGGCGUUUCUCGUAUCGACCCGAGGAGUGCCGGAGCCAACGCGUUAAGUAUCCCGCCUGGGGAGUACGCACGCAAGUGUGAAACUUAAAUGAAUUGACGGGG
rnacentral:rRNA from 1 species